rnacentral:pre_miRNA from 1 species
CCCCGGAUGCCAACGGCUCGAGGAAUGUCCUGGGGCCACUUGAACCCAAAGUUCUGGAGUUGUUGGUGUUACGAAC